GGAGGAGUGGCAGAGUGGUCGAUUGCACCGGUCUUGAAAACCGACGAUGGGCAACCAUCCGUGGGUUCGAAUCCCACCUCCUCCGCCA
rnacentral:tRNA from 1 species